rnacentral:lncRNA from 1 species
AUGCAAAUUCAGAAGGAAGUGACAGAUGUGGAAGAGGAGGAGGAGGAGGAAGCUGAUGGAGAGGAGGAUGAGGAAGAAGAGGAUGAGGAGGCUGUUGAAGAGGAGUUAGUAAAAGAGGAGGGUGAGGAAGAAGAUGAUGAUGAGUAUGAAGAAUAUGAUGAAGAGGAGUUUGCUGAAGAAUAUGAAGAUUAUUAUGGUGAAGAUGCAGAAGCAGAAGAAGACGAGGAGGAGGAAAGCGAGGAGGAUGAAGAAGAAGAGGAGUGGGAAGGAGAGGAAGAAGAAUUAGUAGAAGAGGAAGAAGUAGAUGAGGUUGAAGAUGGAGCUGAAGACGAAGGGGAAGAAGUAGAAGAUGAGGAUGAAGAUGGAGCUGAAGAGGAAGGGGAAGAAUUAGUAGAAGAGGAUGAAGAGGAGGAGGAAGGGGAGGAAGAAGAAGUAGUAGAUGGAGAUGAAGAAGAGGAAGAAGAAGGGGAGGGGGAGGAAGCAGGAGAAGAGGAUGAAGAAGGAGCUGAAGAAGAGGAAGAAGGGGAGGCAGAAGAAGUAGUAGAAGAGGAUGAGGAAGGAACUGAAGAGGAGGAGGAAGGGGAGGAAGAAGAAGUAGUAGAUGGAGAUGUAGGAGAUGAGGAAGAGGAAGAAGAAGGGGAGGUGGAGGAAGUAGGAGAAGAGGAUGAAGAAGGAGCUGAAGAAGAGGAAGAAGGAGAGGUGGAAGAAGUAGAAAACAUAGAAACUGAGGAGGAUGGGGAUGGAGAGGAUGAGCAAGGUGGAGUCAGUGAGGAAGAUAUUGUGGAAGAGGGGGAGGAAGAGGAGUUAGAGAAAAUGGAAGAGGGAGAUAAAGAAGAGAAGGAAGACAAAGAUAAACAAUUGCAAGAAGACAUCACAGAGGAUGAAGACGACAAGGAUAUAGAAGAGGACAAAGCAGUUGAACCGCCUGCUGAUGAAGACAUGGGUGAGGUGGAAGCAGAGGAAGCAGAUGAAGAUGACGAGGCACCUGCAACUGCAGAUCAAGAUGAAGACAAAGAUGAGGCGGAACCUGAACCAAAGCCUGAGGAUAAAGACGAGGAGGAUUUGGCAGAGGAAGCAGCUGAUGAAGACGAGAACAAAGAUGAAAAAAUGUCUGAGGCAGAGGAGGAAGAUGAGGCUGUAGCCACAGAUGAGCCAGUUGAAGAAGAAGAAGAAGAAGAAGAAGAGUCCUCAGAAAAAGUUUCCCCUGAACCUGUUUUCACGUCAGAGGAUGAAGAGUUUGCUCUGUCCAUGGAUUCUGAAGCUGAGGCAUUUGAUGAUCUGAAAGAGAGUGAUGAAGACCUAACUCUGUCUGAUGAAGAAGAUACAACUGGUGAUGAAGAAUUUUUCGACUCUUCAGAUGUCAGUGAAUCGUUACUUCUUUCAAGUGAUGAAGAGGAAGGAAAAGAUGAGAGUUCAGAUGAGGAUGUUCCAACAUCUGACAGUGAUGAUUUACCUGCAGACACUGACGAUGACGUGAGUCUUCAUCUUCCUCCUCUUGUGAUCGAUAGCGAGGAUGAAGAAGAGGAUGAUCUUAAACCUCUUGGUGAGGAAGAUCUUCCUCCUUUACCUCCGAUCAAAAAUGAUAAUGAAAGAGAUGAAGAAGAUCUGAAAUUCACAGACGAUGAUUUGGACCAAUCCGAGGAAGAUGACUCUGUUGCAACCUCUGAGCAUUUUGCUGACGAUGAAGAAGAAGAGGAAGACAUUGAGGAUGAAGAUUUUGACAAAGACGUCCUUGUAACAGUAGACGAAAAGAACAAGGAUGAACCUGAGGAUGAAGAUGACCUCCACGAUGAGGAGGAAUCCAUCAUCCCCUUGUCGUCAGCUUCAGAUAGUGGAGUUUUAGGUGAUGAAGAUGAGAAAGAUGACAUCUCCAUAAAGCUUGAUGAAGGCUUCAGUGGGGACUUAUCAACAAGUGAUGACUAUGAAUCACAGGACGAAAAUGAGGAGGAAGAGGAGGACGAAGAGUUCAAAGAAUCUUACAGUGAUGAGGAGGAACUAAGUGAAGAUGAAGAAGAUGAUGAUAACAUCUUGUUGGCAGGUACAGCAUCGAUGAUCUUUACAGCACAGCAGUGGAACAUCAAAGGAUUGUUACAUGUUGGUGCACAAAAAAGCUGUUUUGUGUCUUUGAAGCUGCAGCUGCAGCAGCCCUCCCUCACCAGGAGGAGGCACCAAAGACCGAUGAAGCUGAGGGUGGAGAGGAGCUCACACAGGAUGAGGAUGAAGACGAGCUGGUGGAGGCAGAAACAGAUUCCAGCCAGCUGGAGGAGGAAGAUGAGGAGGAAGAAGUUGGAGAAACCAAGGCAGAAUCCAAAGUGCAUGAACAGGAGGAUAAGAAAGAGGAAGAUGAUGAAGACAGCGAAGAAGAAAGAGCACCAGUGAAUGUUAUGAAACCUUUGCCUGAGGCGGAUUACGAAGCAGUGGAACCUGAACCUGGAGGUCCGAACCACAGGAAAAGAGUGUUUGUUCUGUCAGAUUUAGUGUGUAAUUUUAAUUUCUCUGUUUCUGAUUUCAGAGUGUCCCUGUUUGCACUCUGCAAAGAGCAAAGAACCUCCUAGCGGAAAAAGCAAAGGUUAGUGGGACUUUUUCACUUUACCACACUUAUUGUUCACUUGUUGUUCACAUGAAAACAUCAGAACUGUCUUCACGGGGCGGUUAAACACAACAAACCUUCUGUUUGUUCCGACAAACUGUAAACAUUAUAACAGAAUAUUAACUAAUAGCAAUCUUACUUUGCUGUGUUUUUUUUACAAACAUAAGUACAUAAAAUACAUAAAAAAAAUACCUAAAAACCUGGAAGACAUAAAAAAAUUCCCCAAAUUAUGAAUUUGUGGCCACACAUUUGUCUCUCAUAGCCACAAAUUGACAUUAAAUGAGCAUUUUGUGCUAACUUAUGCUAUAACUGACAGUUUUUAAAAAUUUAUCAGUUUUAAUAUUUUUUUUUAAUUUUAGGUGCUCCCAGGAGGGUUUCCGCUUUGAGAAGGAGAAAAGGUAAAUCUAAGUUUAAUGUAAAAGGACCAGAUAAAAGCUGUCUAUACUAGCAAAAGAAAAAGCCAAAGUAGUAUUUCUUAAAAUGAAAAUGUACUCAACCUUGUCCAGUGAGAUAAAUCCAGAUGCAUAAAUUGUCUUUUAACUUCUUGAGUUUUUGCUUUAAGGUCUGGAGUCUGUGAGCCCUGUUGAAAAACUUCAAAAACAAGGUGAGCCUGACAACACUGUUAUACCUUUUUUCAUGAACAGUUCAUCACUUUUCAUAUUUUUAUUUUUACUAUUGAUGAUUAUCUUCUCACAUUAUGUAUAGGUCUUCCCAGAAUUGCUGGUCUGGACUCGAAACCUAAGCGGGUCAGACUUGCACCUCUUCUCAAAGGUGAAAGACAAAAUUUCCAAUCAUUAAACAGAGGAUUUAGGAAGUGACUGAUACUAUGACAAACUCUAACUUUCCUUUUUUUUCCUUAUAGCCAAAUUAAAACAGAAGAGCAAGGCUGCAAAAAAAGGUAAUAGAUUAAGAUUUUUUGUUUUAGCAUUUCGAUGUAUAAUUCAAAUCCAUUUUAAUAAUCUGAUUAUAUUUAUAUUCAGAAAAAGAGACCAAAAAGCAGGAACACCUCACUGAAUCUGCACCAGAAGGUAUGAAAUUGUGUCUUUUUAAAUGUGAUUGUAAACCAAAGGUUUUUAUCCUCAUCACUGUUGC